UACAGAGGGUGCGAGCGUUAAUCGGAAUUACUGGGCGUAAAGGGCGCGUAGGUGGUUACUUAAGUCAGAUGUGAAAUCCCUGGGCUUAACCUAGGAAUUGCAUUUGGUACUGAGUGGCUAGAGUAUGGGAGAGGUAAGUGGAAUUUCCGGUGUAGCGGUGAAAUGCGUAGAUAUCGGAAGGAACACCAGUGGCGAAGGCGACUUACUGGCCCAUUACUGACACUGAGGCGCGAAAGCGUGGGGAGCGAACAGG
rnacentral:rRNA from 1 species